AUUGAACGCUGGCGGCAUGCCUUACACAUGCAAGUCGAACGGCAGCGGACCUUCGGGUGCCGGCGAGUGGCGAACGGGUGAGUAAUGCAUCGGAACGUACCUUUCAGUGGGGGAUAACGUAGCGAAAGUUACGCUAAUACCGCGUAUUCUGUGAGCAGGAAAGCAGGGGAUCGCAAGACCUUGCGCUGAUUGAGCGGCCGAUGUCAGAUUAGCUAGUUGGUGAGGUAAAGGCUCACCAAGGCGACGAUCUGUAGCGGGUCUGAGAGGAUGAUCCGCCACACUGGAACUGGGACACGGUCCAGACUCCUACGGGAGGCAGCAGUGGGGAAUUUUGGACAAUGGGGGCAACCCUGAUCCAGCCAUGCCGCGUGAGUGAAGAAGGCCUUCGGGUUGUAAAGCUCUUUCGGCCGGGAAGAAAUCGCACGGGCUAAUACCCUGUGUGGAUGACGGUACCGGAAUAAGAAGCACCGGCUAACUACGUGCCAGCAGCCGCCGUAACAC
rnacentral:rRNA from 1 species